rnacentral:tRNA from 1 species
GCCUGGCUAGCUCAGUGGGUACAGCAUCAGACUUUUAAUCUUAGGGUUCAAGUCCCUGGUCAGGUG